rnacentral:rRNA from 1 species
UACAGAGGGUGCAAGCGUUGUUCGGAAUUAUUGGGCGUAAAGCGCGUGUAGGCGGCUUUGCAAGUCGGGUGUGAAAGCCCUCAGCUCAACUGAGGAAGUGCGCCCGAAACUGCUGGGCUUGAGUGCCGGAGAGGGUGGCGGAAUUCCCCAAGUAGAGGUGAAAUUCGUAGAUAUGGGGAGGAACACCGGUGGCGAAGGCGGCCACCUGGACGGUGACUGACGCUGAGACGCGAAAGCGUGGGGAGCAAACAGG